rnacentral:rRNA from 1 species
AUUGAACGCUGGCGGCAUGCCUUACACAUGCAAGUCGAACGGCAGCACGGGAGCAAUCCUGGUGGCGAGUGGCGAACGGGUGAGUAAUAUAUCGGAACGUGCCCAGUAGUGGGGGAUAACUGCUCGAAAGAGCAGCUAAUACCGCAUACGACCUGAGUGUGAAAGGGGGGGAUCGCAAGACCUCUCGCUAUUGGAGCGGCCGAUAUCAGAUUAGCUAGUUGGUGGGGUAAAGGCCUACCAAGGCAACGAUCUGUAGUUGGUCUGAGAGGACGACCAACCACACUGGGACUGAGACACGGCCCAGACUCCUACGGGAGGCAGCAGUGGGGAAUUUUGGACAAUGGGCGCAAGCCUGAUCCAGCAAUGCCGCGUGCAGGAAGAAGGCCUUCGGGUUGUAAACUGCUUUUGUCAGGGAAGAAAUCCUCUAGGUUAAUACCCUUGGGGGGAUGACGGUACCUGAAGAAUAAGCACCGGCUAACUACGUGCCAGCAGCCGCCGUAAUAC